rnacentral:miRNA from 11 species
GAGCACAUACUUUGUGUGUGUAUGUUCUUAUUGUUAAAUCAACUACAAUUAUUAAUAGUGUAUAAAGAACACAAUGAGAGCUUUGACA